rnacentral:lncRNA from 1 species
CUUAAUCAAUUCACUAAGCACCCAAGUCUGAUUACAAAAGGGAACAAACACAGAGGAGGGAUUGGAGAGGAGGGGAAUUUGGGGGAAGAUAGGAGUCGCCCUUGCGAGGGUCCUCCGGUUCAGUUUGUGAUCCCUCGGGAUAACCCCAAUAGGUAGGAUGGAAAGAUCUUAUAUAUCACUUUGCACACACUUACAGUUGUGGCCCAUUGUCAGUAUUUGACCCAUUCUUCACCAGUGUAUCGUAAGGACGGAGCAUACGGUCUUCCUGACUUGCGGGGCCCCCAAUCAUGUUUCCGACGUUAGUAGUAGUAGCCUCCCCCACGUUAGUGUUGCUUGACAAUUCUUCAGCUUCAGUUUUGCUGCUCUCCUCUUCCUGUUUUGCAUCUCCUCGUUUCGCCAUGGUGUGGUAUAUAGCUUCUCCUAGCGUCGCUGCAUCCGGGGCGUAACAAUCCUUAGCUUGCCCCCAAGAUUCUCCAUGGGAAACUUUGCAGGAACUUCAUCAAUACCCUCACAAGUAGCAAGAUCUGGAGACAUACCUAACCAUUAGAUAAGAGACUGGUGCAUUAAUCUCGCACCCUUGCAAAUCAUGCGUGUAUCCAUUACUGAUUCUGGUUGAGAUUCUUUGACCUUGAUGGGUAAUUAUUGAAGCACUGUCGGC